GACGUAGGGCGCGAGCGUUGUCCGGAUUUAUUGGGCGUAAAGAGCUCGUAGGCGGCUUGUCGCGUCGUGUGUGAAAUCUCAGGGCUCAACUCUGACAUUGCAUACGGUAGUACGGCAGGCUUGAGUUCGGUAGGGGAGACUGGAAUUCCUGGUGUAGCGGUGAAAUGCGCAGAUAUCAGGAGGAACACCGGUGGCGAAGGCGGGUCUCUGGGCCGAUACUGACGCUGAGGAGCGAAAGCGUGGGGAGCGAACAGG
rnacentral:rRNA from 1 species